AGCUUCAGGGUAUUCAUGGGGGCAUUUCCUCCUGAAACCAACGAUGACAACAGAAAAAGGAACAAAGCAAAUAAUGUGAGCACAAUGCAUUAGAAUUUCCAAAAUCUUUUCCAACACUCCAUCUCGUUGCAACAGAACAGUGCUGUUGGUAAAACUGGGGACAAAGAGAAGGCAUCUGUAAUUCGUGAGCUCUGGGUGUGUGCAAUCAGAUGGCAGUUAAGAAAGGCGAGGAACAGUGUAAUUUGCUGGAUUUGGCCAGGGCUGGGCUCCCAAGAGCUGGCGAUUUAACAGAUUGCAGCCCUCAUGUUUUCUGACUUGAAAGAUAAUGAAGCAAUAAAAGCGGCCGAGGCAGCCAGCGAGGAUUCUGCCCCCUGGGGAUGGCUGCGUGAGAGCAGCUGCCCGUGCGGGCACCCGCUCAGGGUGUGACCCAAGAUUGCAGCCCUCCAGCAGACCAGCAACACAGAGGACUAAAUUCCCUCCUUCGGGGACACCAGAACCUCGGCUUCCAGGGUUGUCACUGAGCCGGUGCUAUGCCAGGGCGGCCCAUAUGGUCGAGCGGUUGUCGCCAGAGACACAGAGCAUAAAUAAACCCUGGGAGUACAGAUGGGAGGCCGGCUAGGCUGGCUCCACUUCCUGGUCUCAUCACAGGGGAGUCCGUGUGGAAGCCCUGGGAGGCACCUCAGCCAUUUUCCAGGCCAACGACUGCAUUUGUCAGACGAGAAAAGCCAGAGGUUAAGGGACUUGCCAAAAGUCACACAGUGAGUCAACUGAAAAGCAGUAAGAGGUGGUGGCUAAGAGCACAGCAUGACUCCAUUGCCCUUGGCUUUGGCAAGUGACUGAAGUUCUCAGUUUCCUCAUACCAUGAGUGUGAGGUUAGUACCUGCCACAUUAGGUGCGUGGGACCCAAUCAAACGUAAAUGUGUGAGGCGCCCACUGCCAGGUUCAUAAUCACUGCUCCGUGGCUGCUGAUGGUUCUGAUGCUUAUCAUGACCGCUAGGAGCUGGAGAUAGAUCUUGAGAUCUCUUCUGCCCGGGUCAUGGGUAAACAUGAUGGAUAAAAUUAUGUGAACCAGAGUUUGAAUUUUGGCUUCUAGUUUUGUGACUCCCCCUUUCUGAGCUCUCGUUCUCAUCUGUAAAGCGGAGCAGCGACACCACUGUUCACAGGCUUGCUGCGAGGAUGGGAGGCAGCAGCGAGGGGACGGAGCCCUCCCAGCAGUAAACCGCAACUGUGACCCCCUAAUUCAAAGCUCCUCCCCUCGGCGGCAGCGAGGACAACGGCUUUCAGUUUGAAGAAUGGUAACUCAGAACCAUUAUCAUCCCCAUCUCAUGGAUUAGAAACGGAGGCUGGGAUGAGUUAUCAAGAUGCUCCUAGUCAUACAGGCAAGAACCUGGCGGGGCCAGCCAGGAUUUGAAACCAGGGCAUCUGGCUCCUAAGGCUGAAUAUUGGUGACUGGCUGCUUAAAUGCUCUGCCUCCAUUUAUGAGAGGAAAACAUCUGUGUCCUCGUCUUCAAAUUGUUUUGUCUCUAAAAUAUCCUUCCAGCAAGGAGGAAAACCAGUGUUGAAGAAAAUACCACUGAACACACAGCACUCCCCAAAGCUCAGAGACAAAGGAAGUCCAGGAAAGGAAGGGAAGGAGGAAACAUGGAUUUAGUUCCACCGUGAAAAUAUUCCACACUUCAACCUCUUGGUGGCUGUUACACUAAGAUGGAGCCAGAGCAUCUCGGGAUGCUGUCCGACACUCCGAGGGCAGCAGAACUCUCGCUGGGUGGCUGAUGGCAGACCCAUUCUCUUGCCUCGAAUGCAGCAGACUGACCGCUUCCAGUUAAGUAAAAAUAUCAAAACCGUAACGUGCAUGAGAGCACCUUGGGAUAAAUGCAUUACGGAGCUGUCAUCACAGCUCUCACUCCACCAGUUCCUGCCGUUCAUGUGCGAUGCACAUGGGGCUCCUUGGCAAUCGGGACCACCGCUUCCUUCCAACACAGGUGAUCCGCUUCCUGGGCCGACCUCCGGGUCCUGCCACGACCCUCCCACAGUAGCCAUUUACUCGUUCUACCACUGGUUUUUUGCGUUUUGUUUUGUUUUGUUUUGCACGGAAUUAAUCACCUAUUUUCUACCAACUCGCCAGGCAAACGGGAUCUUUCACUUCCCUCAGUGCUUCUGUAACAGGAGGGGGUUUGAAUGAGAUGGGUGUUUUCCAAACUGGGCUGCUGGGGAGAGCUCUGAGCACUUCAAGGGGCUCACUAGGGGCUGCCGUAAGAAGGGAGUGCCCCGAAGGAGAGACUCUGGGUCCCUGAGCCUAUUGUUUCUGUUUUACAUUUUAGAACCCCACCUGAAAUUUUGUUUCAACAAAGGGUUUGGUGGCCAAAAACCCAUUCAGGAAUUAAAUAAUUAAAUACAUAAAUCAAUUACAUAAAGCUGCUGAGCCACGUGGUUUCUCAGGUCCUGUGCUGUGUUUCUCAGGUCCUGUGCUGUCCCACUCCGCAUGAUCAGCAGUGGACGAUCACAAUGGGAAUGGCCGAAUGAACAGGAGAACAUGCAGCCUGCAGUCUCUGGGUAUUUUCUGUCACCAUGGAGAAUGGUAGAGGCUGGAAAAGGUCAAAAGGACACGGCCUACGAGCUGAGGCGGCAGAGCAGUGAAGCCUGUUGGAAAGUGCCAGCAUCCAAGAGGAGGAUGGUGAGAACCGUAGAGCCGGGUGCCGGGUCAGUCGGAUGGACACGGGUUCCAAGGCCACCUCUGUGCCGCCAGCUGUGGAUGUCCGAGUCUCAGUUUCCAUAUCCGUACCUAAAGGGCUGGUAGGAGUGAACGAGUUGGGCUGUGCAGGGCCCUUUGGUGUUUCAGGCGAUGUGAGUUGAAGAAGGAAUGAGCGCUUGGUCUUCAGAAGGGGCAGAGACGAGCCGCCAGGUCGGGUCAGAGUCACGGUUAACAAGCUCUCGGCUCCUCACUCCGUCGCUGUUUGGUUUUCACUGCGUCGCGAUUUUGCAGCUUUCCCACUCGGACCACCAACUUUCCUGAGCGUUUAGCCUUCUCUGCCGGCUGCCGUCCCCUCCCUCUCAGAGUCCCCCACCCCCAUCCGCAUCUACUUGAUGAUGACAGGAAUCGCCAGGGGCACCAGGCAGCUCAGAAGUAUACUCCAGGACAUGGCUGUCACACUUUUCUUUUUUCCUAAGACCCACAGUAAGAAAUAUAUUAAUAAAUUUUGCAUUGCAAAUCAACCCACACAUACAUAUAAAUGACUGAUUAAAGAAAUUUCAUGAAACACUCCCCGUCCUUCUUAUCUGCACUCUAUUAUUUUCUUUUCCAUUCCACUUCAUUCCAUUCUAUUCUACUUUAUUUUGCCUUUGAAAGUGCUGGUUACCACCCAGUAAUCUAGUUCAUUAACCAGCUGCCAGUUUGAGAAACACUGGUUUCCGGUGGGACUGCCAUGCCGUUCUCUCUGUCCAGUUGUGGACUGUAUCAGUGGCCCUAGAAACCUGUGUUCCAAUUCACAGCCUAAGAAUCAUCAGGGGCCUUGAUAAAUGUACAAAUUUCCAGGCUCCAUCCCCAGAGAUUUGACAGCGUUUCAGAGACUGGUCAGAACCAGAGUGUCUCGUGGGGUCUCCCUGGCACUGAGAUGGAGAUUCUGAUUCCAGGGAGAAAGCUUCUGAUUGGUCUAGAUGGGUCAGAGAAGGAAGAUGCCUUGAUGGGCAGUCCCACCAACACUGUAUCCCUUGGGGUGGGUAGCUCCCCAAAGUAAGUAGAAGAAAGGGUGAUGGAUGCUGCCAGGGACUGUUUGUGUCGCCCCAAAAUUCAUAUGUUGAAAUUCUGACCCCGAAUGUGAUGGUAUCUGGAGGUGGGGCCUUUGGGUUGAUUAGGUCAUGAGGUAGAACCCUCAUGAAUGGGAUUAGUGCCCUUAUUAGGAGACGCCAGAGAGCUCUCUUGUCCCUUCUGCCAUGUGAGGACACAGGGAAAAGAUGACUAUUUAUAAACCAGGAAGCAGGUCUGACUAGACUCUGAAGCUGCCAGUGCCCUGAUGUGGGACUUCCCAGCCUCAAGAACUGUGAGAAAUAAAAGUCUGUCGUUUAAUAAG
ensembl:lncRNA